UAUCUCUGUAGAGUCUGCAUAUCAAUAAGCGGAGGAAAAGAAACUAACAAGGAUUCCCCUAGUAACGGCGAGUGAAGCGGGAAGAGCUCAAAUUUGAAAUCUUCAAGGUUUUACCUUGACGAAUUGUAGUUUAAAGAAGUGUUUUCUGUUGAAUGUUUUGGUAAAAGUUCUUUGGAAUAGGACAUCAUAGAGGGUGAGAAUCCCGUAUUUGACCAUUAUUUUCCAGCUGUGUGAUACACUUUCAAAGAGUCGGAUUGUUUGGGAAUGCAGUCCAAAAUGGGUGGUAAAUUUCAUCUAAAGCUAAAUACUGGCGAGAGACCGAUAGCGAACAAGUACCGUGAGGGAAAGAUGAAAAGAACUUUGAAAAGAGAGUUAAACAGUACGUGAAAUUGUCAAAAGGGAAGCGUUUGACACCAGUGUUGUUUUCUCGAAAAUCAAUUAAAAAUGGCUGGAUUUUGUGUUGUAUUGACCUUUAUCAGCUUUCUUCACUCUUUUUCUAUCUUUUUUAAUGCACUUUUCGUUUAACAAGUCAACAUCAGUUUCUUUUGUUGUAAAAGGGUCAUUGGAAGGUGGCUUUCUUUCGGAGAAAGUGUUUAUAGCCUUUGGCCUCUGCAAUCGGAGAGAUUGAGGUCUGCAGCGUAGAUCCUUCGGGGUUAGAUACAUUUGUGCUAAGUUAUAGCCUUUUCAUAGACAACUUGUUGACUAUAUCUAGUCAUGUAGCUUACUCGCUUAUGUUAUUUUACCUACGCUUAGGAUGUUGAUGUGAUACUGCGAGC
rnacentral:rRNA from 1 species